ensembl:lncRNA
CAGAUUUUGAAAAAGGAACGGAAUCAGCAUCCCAAAUAGGCCAUGAGAUCAAAUCACCUUCUAAAAGGAGGGGGUUGAGGGGGUGUGACUAGAUAGGAGUGGUCUCACACUCAACCCCAGGCGGCAUGGUUUGGACACCACAGAGGGAAAGCGAGGAUGUUAGACAGGACACCAAAAGCAUUUCGACUACAGUGAGAAAAAAACUACUGACCACGAAAACAGGAUAGAGGAGUGAUAGUUUAAAAAAUAAUUCUUUAAAGUGACCUCAUCAUGGGAUCAGAGACCAACAGGCUCAGAAACAGAUAAGGGGAUCCCCCCCUGUUCCCAAGAAGCCAUGGAAACACUGAUAGACAUCAGGGAAGCCUAUCAGGAGGCAGGCAGGGGAGGCAGUCGAGGUGUGUCUCUGCCCAGUUUGCACAAGAGCAACAACAGCAGACAUCGGGGCCAUGCAGACCACCCUCUGUCGUCUGGCUUGCUGAGAAGCCCCUGCCAGCCAAUACCCCCACCACACAGGAGACGAAGAACAAGAAGCGUGGUUGCUGCAUCGCCACCCUCCCAUAGCUUGUUGUCUGUGGCAGAGCCCAGUCAGCUCAGCCAAUCAGCUCCCAGCAUCAUGGAACCUCUGCUCUGUCCAAACACUAUGAUGCAGGCCAGAGCACACAUCCAGACCCGGUUGGGUUCUCAUCGUACUAUAAAUGAACAAAAGGGUCUACUGCCCCGAACACCUAAACUCUUGGCACCCCUGGACAACCGCUCCAGAAAUGGCACCGCUCUGCCUGUACUAAAGCAACAUGUUCCCCUGAAGCCCAUCAGUCAGAGCCCCCUUUCUACAAGGACCAGGUUGAAAAGAGAGAGACUGUCCUGGGGCAGCUCAUGCAUUGAUCCUUCAACAACUAAGGCUGGCAGUGAGGAGAGUGGGUCCAGCAGCAGCCACAGCUCAGUCGAUUUAGAGGAUGAGGACGCUGACAGGGAUCAAGAUGCAUAUCUGACUGUCAGUCACGACAGGAUGUUGGAGCUUCCAAAGGAUGCGAGCACCACUGAGGCUGAUAGGACUGGGAAGACAGCGCUGCAUUUUAAAGUUCAGUCAAAGAUUAGUCAUGUUCCACUGAUCCGCAGAUCAGGACGUAGCCGGAAGGAAGACCUUAUCAAUCAUACAAGUGAUCUUCACAACAGUGCAAUAGCUUUGAAUAUUACAAAAGAGUGUGCUGACAGCGAGUCAUCAAAAGUAUAUGACUCUGCAAAAAAUGGAGACACUCUGACUCAGGAUAAAGGCAUUUUGAAUAAUGUAAUAGUUUUCACAUCAGAGUCAAAGGAGGAGAAGAACAGUGUGGGGAACACUUCUGAACCUGGGACUGAGAUUAUCCAUGCAGUUAUAUUUAAUGCGAAUAAUGAUCUAAAUGAAUUGAGAAAUGUGAAACAGACAGAAAAAACGAAGUAUUCGUGUGAUGAAGAAAACCAAGUAGACAAAAAAUUUGUUUGCAGUCCAGUAGAUGAAACGUUAAAUCCCAGUGCUGCUGUGGGGAAUGUUCAAGUUUGUACUUCACCUGAAAACAUUCAUCAGAACGAUGGAGGUCACAAGAAAGAUGAGAAGCUUACACAGGAGAAGGAGAAAAGAACCAAUGUGAACUUUGAACUGAGAACAAGCAAUCACACUAAGCAGCCUUUCAACAUACUAGCACAUAAAGACAGAAGCAUUUUAAGUCGGAAUAAGUCCAAAAGCAACUUUAAGUACGCCUCGCUGAAUACUCAGGUCAAAGAUAAAACCAGGAAAAGUCCUGAGCAAACUGGUGGCAGAGAGGGUAUUGUAACUAAAGCCAAAUCAAAGAUGAAAUCAAAAGGUCGCUCUAAUUCUGGCACUCCAUCGCCACGAAAGAAAGUUAUUGAUUAUUCACAGAGCAAAAUAAUACAUCCUGUCACUACUCAACAGCACACACAAGGGAGGGAGCUGAGAAGUGCCCAGCAGCUGAGAAAACCCUGUGUAGGGGAAACACCAAGGUCUAAAUCUGCCGUUGACCUCAUCACCUACAAGGAUAUGUUUCGGCAGAUACAGAGUCAGAGUCAAGAAGGGCCAGCCAUCUACGAGAUGUUUGCCGGUCCUGUCUAUGAAAACCUCAGAGUUCCCCACACCUGUGAGAAACUAAACGAGAAAAGCCCACCCCAGUGUGCUCCACCUAAGAAGACGCAACAGGGCCAUAAAGCAAAACACAGGCAACUAAAAUCAGCACCCAGUAAGCCAAAGAGA